rnacentral:snRNA from 1 species
GUGCUCACUUUGGCAGCACAUAUACUAAAAUUGGAACGAUACAGAGAAGAUUAGCAUGGCCCCUGCACAAGGAUGACAUGCAAAUUCGUGAAGUGUUCCAUAUUUUU